rnacentral:rRNA from 1 species
AUUGAACGCUGGCGGCAGGCCUAACACAUGCCAGUCGAGCGGAUGAAGGGAGCUUGCUCCUGGAUUCAGCGGCGGACGGGUGAGUAAUGCCUAGGAAUCUGCCUGGUAGUGGGGGAUAACGUCCGGAAACGGGCGCUAAUACCGCAUACGUCCUGAGGGAGAAAGUGGGGGAUCUUCGGACCUUACGCUAUCAGAUGAGCCUAGGUCGGAUUAGCUAGUUGGUGGGGUAAAGGCCUACCAAGGCGACGAUCCGUAACUGGUCUGAGAGGAUGAUCAGUCACACUGGAACUGAGACACGGUCCAGACUCCUACGGGAGGCAGCAGUGGGGAAUAUUGGACAAUGGGCGAAAGCCUGAUCCAGCCAUGCCGCGUGUGUGAAGAAGGUCUUCGGAUUGUAAAGCACUUUAAGUUGGGAGGAAGGGCAGUAAGUUAAUACCUUGCUGUUUUGACGUUACCAACAGAAUAAGCACCGGCUAACUUCGUG